rnacentral:rRNA from 1 species
AUGUGGACAGUAUGGGAGUGAGAAUGUUGGCAUGAGUAGCGAGAUGUGGGUGAGAAUCCCACAGGCCGUAAACCCAAGGUUUCCAGGGGAAGGUUCGUCCACCCUGGGUUAGUCGGGACCUAAGCUGAGGCCGAAAGGCGUAGGUGAUGGACAACAGGUUGAUAUUCCUGUACUACCGAUAACCGUUUGAGAGAAGGGAUGACACAGUAGGAUAAGCUAAGCACACUG